GAGAUCUUCUCAUCUGUACAGGAAUGUGGUUCUGAAUAUAAACAGCAACACCACCACCACUGGCAUUUCUGUAAAUGUUAGUGGUAGCAAUACAAGGUUCUAUCAAAGGUAUUGUCAGUUUCAGAGAUACUAGCAAGCUAUUAAUUUCAUCAACCUUGUUUCUUAAGCUACAUAUGUUAACGUGGGCUAUUUGUAGACACAUUUCUUGAAAUGAGGGCAAAAUCAGAAUGUAGACAAGAUCAGGACAAAGGGUUCAUGUUUACACCAGGUAUAAACAGAGCUAAAGUGUCUAGCUGGGCCAUACAGAAAAAUAACUAAAUCCAGAUUCUCUAUCAACAGAACUUCACGAGGCAGAAGUUGAACGUGUAACCAUUUGGGAACAGGGGCCCUGCCUGUGCCUGGCAUCUGAGGCUCCUCUCUUUCCCAGCCACUCUUUCUCCAGACAGGAAGUGGACCUCAGCUGAUCCCAAGGGGCGACAGCAUCGGCAACCACUUGGAGUAUAUUCAGUGAUGUGAAACGUUCCGAGUGUUGCAGAUAGAAUAGUGAAUUGUCAGCUCUAUACAUUACAAUUCUCUGACAGACAACCAUAUCUGUUCUAUAACGUGACAUUCUCCUGAUCAGGCCCUGACAGUACUCGUUGGGAGCUUAGGAGGUUCUGAUGGUGGCGAUGGAACAUGAGAAUUUCCAAUUAAAUUGAUUACUCGUC